rnacentral:rRNA from 1 species
UACGUAGGGGGCAAGCGUUAUCCGGAUUUACUGGGUGUAAAGGGAGCGUAGACGGCUAAAUAAGUCAGAUGUGAAAGCCCAGGGCUCAACCCUGGGACUGCAUUUGAAACUAUGUAGCUAGAGUGCAGGAGAGGUAAGUGGAAUUCCUAGUGUAGCGGUGAAAUGCGUAGAUAUUAGGAGGAACACCAGUGGCGAAGGCGGCUUACUGGACUGUAACUGACGUUGAGGCUCGGAAAGCGUGGGGAGCAAACAGGG